ensembl:lncRNA
GAGUGCCAUUGUUUUGAAUAACAACACGACUGUGAUUUGGUUGAGGACACAAGGCUGUUAUAUUUGUGCUGCUAUCAGGAUUUCAUGAUCUACAGUACAGUUAAGUCUCUACAGCACGUCUGCAUGAUCUUGAGCAGUUUAAGCUCCUUCACAGCUCUGUUAUGGCGAAUGUUCAAAACAGGAUUCUUCAUCUGGAUCUCUCUAUCAUCAUUAUUUUCCUGAUUCAUGCAGAUUAUUCCAAAUCUAAUCAAGAGCAAAGGAUUCAGCAGCACAUCAACAAAACAGUGUUUGUGGGGGAAACAGUUACACUUCACUGCAACAAAACCCAACUUGAUGAUGAUUUCACAUGGAAAAUGAACAACUCUGUUAUUUUUAGGCAGGUCUCUGAUAUUAACAUAACUAAGACAAACUUCAGCUCAAACAGGAUUCACAUCGACCCCGCAGCUCCAAGAGAAUUAACAAUACAUCAAAUACAAGCGUCUGAUGCAGGAAACUACAGCUGUUACCCAGCAGCAAUAAGAUGGACAUUAACAAUAACAGAUAUCCAGAUCAGACCAGAAUCACUCAAACAAAUGUCGCUGAACAUCAUCAUCAUUAUCAUCAUUAUCAUCUUAUGUUCUGGAGUCAUUAUGGUCUGUUUUAUCAUCACCAUCAGCAUCUGCAUUCACAGGAAACUGAGACAGAAGAUCAGCUCUGGUUCAGAGGAUGUGAAGAUGAUCUCUGACUGUGACAGACACACACUAACAGUCUGUGUCUACAGUCUUCAUACAGUUUCAUGAACAUCUUUUCUUCUCAAGACAGCAGUGUGUGUCUGACACUCAACAGAUCAUCAUUACAAUACAGGAAGAUGUUUGAGAACGAGACCAUUACAAUAAUAAAUACAGUCUCAGAGAAUCUGUAUGUGAAUGU